GGAAGGAUCAUUACCGAGUGCGGGUCCUUUGGGCCCAACCUCCCACCCGUGUCUAUUGUACCUGUUGCUUCGGCGGGCCCGCCGCUUGUCGGCCGCCGGGGGGGCAUCUCUGCCCCUCGGGCCCGUGCCCGCCGGAGACACCAACACGAACACUGUCUGAAAUCGUGAAGUCUGAGUCGAUUGUUUUCAAUCAGUUAAAACUUUCAACAAUGGAUCUCUUGGUUCCGGCAUCGAUGAAGAACGCAGCGAAAUGCGAUAACUAAUGUGAAUUGCAGAAUUCAGUGAAUCAUCGAGUCUUUGAACGCACAUUGCGCCCCCUGGUAUUCCGGGGGGCAUGCCUGUCCGAGCGUCAUUGCUGCCCUCAAGCCCGGCUUGUGUGUUGGGUCGCCGUCCCCCUGUCUGGGGGGACGGGCCCGAAAGGCAGCGGCGGCACCGCGUCCGAUCCUCGAGCGUAUGGGGCUUUGUCACAUGCUCUGUAGGAUUGGCCGGCGCCUGCCGACAACUCCAACCUUUUUUUCCAGGUUGACCUCGGAUCAGGUAGGGAUACCCGCUGAACUUAAGCAUAUCAAUAAGCGGAGGAAAAGAAACCAACCGGGAUUGCCUCAGUAACGGCGAGUGAAGCGGCAAGAGCUCAAAUUUGAAAGCUGGCUCCUUCGGAGUCCGCAUUGUAAUUUGCAGAGGAUGCUUUGGGUGCGGCCCCCGUCUAAGUGCCCUGGAACGGGCCGUCAGAGAGGGUGAGAAUCCCGUCUUGGGCGGGGUGUCCGUGCCCGUGUAAAGCUCCUUCGACGAGUCGAGUUGUUUGGGAAUGCAGCUCUAAAUGGGUGGUAAAUUUCAUCUAAAGCUAAAUACUGGCCGGAGACCGAUAGCGCACAAGUAGAGUGAUCGAAAGAUGAAAAGCACUUUGAAAAGAGAGUUAAACAGCACGUGAAAUUGUUGAAAGGGAAGCGCUUGCAACCAGACUCGCCCGCGGGGUUCAGCCGGCAUUCGUGCCGGUGUACUUCCCCGUGGGCGGGCCAGCGUCGGUUUGGGCGGCCGGUCAAAGGCCCCUGGAAUGUAGUGCCCUCCGGGGCACCUUAUAGCCAGGGGUGCAAUGCGGCCAGCCUAGACCGAGGAACGCGCUUCGGCUCGGACGCUGGCAUAAUGGUUGUAAACGACCCGUCUUGAAACACGGACCAAGGAGUCUAACAUCUACGCGAGUGUUCGGGUGUCAAACCCGUGCGCGCAGUGAAAGCGAACGGAGGUGGGAGCCCCCUCGUGGGGCGCACCAUCGACCGAUCCUGAUGUCUUCGGAUGGAUUUGAGUAAGAGCGUAAAUGUGGGGACCCGAAAGAUGGUGAACUAUGCCUGAAUAGGGCGAAGCCAGAGGAAACUCUGGUGGAGGCUCGCAGCGGUUCUGACGUGCAAAUCGAUCGUCAAAUUUGGGUAUAGGGGCGAAAGACUAAUCGAACCAUCUAGUAGCUGGUUCCUGC
rnacentral:misc_RNA from 1 species